UCUUCCUAUUUCACUUUGCUAGGAACAAAAAGAUCUGUGCGGACUUGGUUUGCACUUGCAGUCUGGCUUCCCCAUCACAAUAGCCUUUAGCCUGCUCCACUGUUGCAGAGCUUGACUAUGUCCAGCUUGAGCUUGACUUCCACAUAAAUUGAUGGACACAGUAAGAGAAGAAACAUGGAACAGUUACUGAACUCUAGUUUCAAAGACAGCAAGGCUGUUUCUAGCACUGGAGACUAUCAGCCUGGUGAGACCUCUCAUGCAUUCUCAGGUUUGUUUUCCAAAUUUUUAAUUUUUUUUCUACUGCUUGUCAUUGGAAGAGUGCUUUGGCACUCAAGAAGUCAGAGGAUUCAAAUUUGAAUUAUAUCUUUUAAAACACAUCAAGACCUU
rnacentral:lncRNA from 12 species